rnacentral:rRNA from 1 species
UAAUGGCUCACCAAGGCGACGAUCCCUAGCUGGUCUGAGAGGAUGAUCAGCCACACUGGAACUGAGACACGGUCCAGACUCCUACGGGAGGCAGCAGUGGGGAAUAUUGCACAAUGGGCGCAAGCCUGAUGCAGCCAUGCCGCGUGUGUGAAGAAGGCCUUCGGGUUGUAAAGCACUUUCAGCAGUGAGGAAGGCGGGUACGUUAAUAGCGUAUUCGUUUGACGUUAGCUGCAGAAGAAGCACCGGCUAACUCCGUGCCAGCAGCCGCGGUAAUACGGAGGGUGCGAGCGUUAAUCGGAAUUACUGGGCGUAAAGCGCAUGCAGGUGGUUCGUUAAGUCAGAUGUGAAAGCCCGGGGCUCAACCUCGGAACUGCAUUUGAAACUGGCGGACUAGAGUACUGUAGAGGGGGGUAGAAUUUCAGGUGU